rnacentral:rRNA from 1 species
GACGAACGCUGGCGGCGUGCUUAACACAUGCAAGUCGAACGGAAAGGCCCUGCUUUUGUGGGGUGCCCGAGUGGCGAACGGGUGAGUAACACGUGAGUAACCUUCCCUUGACUUUGGGAUAACUUCAGGAAACUGGGGCUAAUACCGGAUAGGAGCUCCUGCUGCAUGGUGGGGGUUGGAAAGUUUCGGCGGUUGGGGAUGGACUCGCGGCUUAUCAGCUUGUUGGUGGGGUAGUGGCUUACCAAGGCUUUGACGGGUAGCCGGCCUGAGAGGGUGACCGGACACAUUGGGACUGAGAUACGGCCCAGACUCCUACGGGAGGCAGCAGUGGGGAAUAUUGCACAAUGGGCGGAAGCCUGAUGCAGCAACGCCGCGUGCGGGAUGACGGCCUUCGGGUUGUAAACCGCUUUCGCCUGUGACGAAGCGUGAGUGACGGUAAUGGGUAAAGAAGCACCGGCUAACUACGUG